rnacentral:tRNA from 1 species
CGGGCAGUAGCGCAGCUUGGUAGCGCACUUGCAUGGGGUGCAAGGGGUCGCUGGUUCAACUCCAGUCUGCCCGA